rnacentral:rRNA from 1 species
AGUCUGGGAUACCACUUGGAAACAGGUGCUAAUACCGGAUAAGAAAGCGGAUCGCAUGAUCAGCUUUUAAAAGGCGGCGUAAGCUGUCGCUAUGGGAUGGCCCCGCGGUGCAUUAGCUAGUUGGUAAGGUAAAGGCUUACCAAGGCGAUGAUGCAUAGCCGAGUUGAGAGACUGAUCGGCCACAUUGGGACUGAGACACGGCCCAAACUCCUACGGGAGGCAGCAGUC